rnacentral:rRNA from 1 species
AGGACAAACGCUGGCGGCGUGCCUAAAACAUGCAAGUCGAACGGACCCUUCGGGGUCAGUGGCGGACGGCUGAGUAACGCGUGGGUAACCUACCCGUGAGUGGGGAAUAACCCUCCGAAAGGAGGGCUAAUACCGCAUACGACCACGAGUCUGCGGAUUCGUGAGGAAAGUCGCAAGACGCUCGCGGAGGGGCCCGCGUCCGAUUAGCUAGUUGGUGAGGUAACGGCCCACCAAGGCGUCGAUCGGUAGCUGGUCUGAGAGGAUGAUCAGCCAGACUGGGACUGUGACACGGCCCAGACUCCUACGGGAGGCAGCAGUUAGGAAUCUUGGGCAAUGGGCGAAAGCCUGACCCAGCAACGCCGCGUGGGUGACGAAGGCCUUCGGGUCGUAAAGCCCUUUUCCACGGGAAGAUGAUGACGGUACCGUGGGAAUAAGCCCCGGCUAACUACGUGCCAGCAGCCGCGGUAAUACGUAGGGGGCGAGCGUUGUCCGGAUUUAUUGGGCGUAAAACGCUUGUAGGUGGCUACGUCAAGUCGGACGUGAAAUCUCCCGGCUUAACUGGGAGGGGUCGCUCGAUACUGGCGAGCUCGAGGCAGGUAGGGGGAAGCGGAAUUCCCGGUGUAGUGGUGGAAUGCGUAGAUAUCGGGAGGAACACCAGUGGCGAAGGCGGCUUCCUGGACCUGUUCUGACACUGAGGAGCGAAAGCGUGGGGAGCGAUCCGGAUUAGAUACCCGGGUAGUCCACGCCGUAAACGGUGAGCACUAGGUGUCGGGGGUAUCGACCCCUCCGGUGCCGCAGCUAACGCAUUAAGUGCUCUGCCUGGGGAGUACGGCCGCAAGGCUAAAACUCAAAG